GUGAAUCAUCGAAUUUUUGAACGCAAAUUGCACUCUCUGGUAUUCCGGAGAGUAUGCCUGUUUGAGGUUCGUUUUAAAUAAAAAUCGUGGUGUUUCCGCCCUUUCUUGUUACCGCCCCGAAUUGGGUUCGUCUGGCCUUCGUUUAAGUGACCUAAAAUUUUGCAUGAUUUUUUUCAAAGGUAUUUAAUUGAUUUUACUUACUUUUCCGAUAUCAAAUCCU
rnacentral:misc_RNA from 1 species